UGUCCGAUGGUGUAACUGGCAACACGUCUGGUUUUGGUNCAGAAGAGUCUAGGUUCGAGCCCUAGUCGGACAACUA
rnacentral:tRNA from 1 species